GACGUAGGGCGCGAGCGUUGUCCGGAAUUACUGGGCGUAAAGAGCUCGUAGGCGGUUUGUCGCGUCUGCUGUGAAAUCCCGAGGCUCAACCUCGGGCCUGCAGUGGGUACGGGCAGGCUCGAGUUCGGUAGGGGAGACUGGAAUUCCUGGUGUAGCGGUGAAAUGCGCAGAUAUCAGGAGGAACACCGGUGGCGAAGGCGGGUCUCUG
rnacentral:rRNA from 1 species